GUGAUCUGCGGGGGGGUCAUUACACAAAUAUGAAGGCGGGCUGGAACCUCUCGGGGUUACAGCCUUGCGGAAUUAUUCACCCUUGUCUUUUGCGUACUUCUUGCUUCCUGGGCGGGCUCGCCCACCACUAGGACAAACAUAAACCUUUUGUAAUUGCAAUCAGCGUCAGUAACAAUGUAAUAAUUACAACUUUCAACAACGGAUCUCUUGGUCUGGCAUCGAUGAAGAACGCAGCGAAAUGCGAUAAGUAGUGUGAAUUGCAGAAUUCAGUGAAUCAUCGAAUCUUUGAACGCACAUUGCGCCCUUUGGUAUUCCAAAGGGCAUGCCUGUUCGAGCGUCAUUUGUACCCUCAAGCUUUGCUUGGUGUUGGGCGUCUUGUCUCUAGCUUUGCUGGAGACUCGCCUUAAAGUAUUGGCAGCCGGCCUACUGGUUUCGGAGCGCAGCACAAGUCGCACUCUCUAUCAGCAAAGGUCUAGCGUCCAUUAAGCCUUUUUUUCAACCUUUGACCUCGGAUCAGGUAGGGAUACCCGCUGAACUUAAGCAUAUCAAUAAGCCGGGGGAAAGAAACCAACAGGGAUUGCCCUAGUAACGGCGAGUGAAGCGGCAACAGCCAAAUUUGAAAUCUGGCUCUUUUAGAGUCCGAGUUGUAAUUUGCAG
rnacentral:rRNA from 1 species